rnacentral:rRNA from 1 species
GAUGAACGCUGGCGGCGUGCCUAAUACAUGCAAGUCGAGCGAAUGGAUUGAGAGCUUGCUCUUAUGAAGUUAGCGGCGGACGGGUGAGUAACACGUGGGUAACCUGCCCAUAAGACUGGGAUAACUCCGGGAAACCGGGGCUAAUACCGGAUAAUAUUUUGAACCGCAUGGUUCGAAAUUGAAAGGCGGCUUCGGCUGUCACUUAUGGAUGGACCCGCGUCGCAUUAGCUAGUUGGUGAGGUAACGGCUCACCAAGGCAACGAUGCGUAGCCGACCUGAGAGGGUGAUCGGCCACACUGGGACUGAGACACGGCCCAGACUCCUACGGGAGGCAGCAGUAGGGAAUCUUCCGCAAUGGACGAAAGUCUGACGGAGCAACGCCGCGUGAGGGAUGAAGGUCUUCGGGUCGUAAAACUCUGUUGUUAGGGAAGAACAAGUGCUAGUUGAAUAAGCUGGCACCUUGACGGUACCUAACCAGAAAGCCACGGCUAACUACGUGCCAGCCGCCGCUGUAA